rnacentral:rRNA from 1 species
CGGUGGAGCGUGUGGUUUAAUUCGACGCAACGCGAAGAACCUUACCAGUCCUUGACAUUCUCCGGGCGGUUUCCAGAAAUGAUCCUAUUCGGGACAGGUGUGACGAGCGCAACCCUCGCCAUUAGUUGCCAUCGGGAUGUCAAGUAUCAUGGCCCUUACGGGCUGGCUACAUACAUGGCGGUGACAUGGGCAGCCACCCAGCAAUGGGGAGCUUCACAAAAAGCCGUCUCAGUUCGGAUUGGGGUGCAACUCGACCCCAUGAAGUCGGAAUCGCUAGUAAUCGGGAUCAGCACGCCGCGGUGAAUACGUUCCCGGGCCUUGUACACACCGCCGUCACACCAUGGGAGUUGGUUUUACCCGAAGACGGUGCGCUAACCGCAAGGAGGCAGCCGGCCACGUAAGGUCAGCGACUGGGGUGAAGUCGUACAA